rnacentral:rRNA from 1 species
UACGUAGGGGGCAAGCGUUGUCCGGAUUUAUUGGGCGUAAAGAGCGUGUAGGCGGCCAGGUAGGUCUGCUGUGAAAACUCGAGGCUCAACCUCGAGAUGUCGGCGGAAACCAUCUGGCUAGAGUGCGGUAGGGGAGACUGGAAUUCCUGGUGUAGCGGUGAAAUGCGCAGAUAUCAGGAAGAACACCAAUGGCGAAGGCAGCUCUCUGGGACGGUACUGACACUGAGACGCGAAAGCGUGGGGAGCGAACAGG